rnacentral:rRNA from 1 species
GGUUUAUAUAAACUGGAGGGAGGUGGGGAUGACGUCAAAUCAUCAUGCCCCUUAUGACCUGGGCUACACACGUGCUACAAUGGUUGGUACAACGGGAUGCUACCUCGCGAGAGGACGCCAAUCUCUUAAAACCAAUCUCAGUUCGGAUUGUAGGCUGCAACUCGCCUACAUGAAGUGGGAAUCGCUAGUAAUCGCGGAUCAGCAUGCCGCGGUGAAUACGUUCCCGGGCCUUGUACACACCGCCCGUCACACCACGGGAGUUUGCAACACCCGAAGUCGGUGAGGUAACCGCAAGGAGCCAGCCGCCGAAGGUGGGGUAGAUGACUGGGUGAAGUCGAACCAAGUAUCUGCCGC